GUAAGGAAUAUUGGACAAUGGACGCAAGUCUGAUCCAGUCAUGCCGCGUGAAGGAUUAAGGUCCUCUGGAUUGUAAACUUCUUUUAUAAGGGACGAAAAAAGGCUUUUCUAAGUCGUCUGACGGUACCUUAUGAAUAAGCACCGGCUAACUCCGUGCCAGCAGCCGCGGUAAUACGGAGGGUGCAAGCGUUAUCCGGAUUCACUGGGUUUAAAGGGUGCGUAGGCGGGCAGGUAAGUCAGUGGUGAAAUCCUAGAGCUUAACUCUAGAACUGCCAUUGAUACUAUCUGUCUUGAAUAUUGUGGAGGUAAGCGGAAUAUGUCAUGUAGCGGUGAAAUGCUUAGAUAUGACAUAGAACACCUAUUGCGAAGGCAGCUUACUACGCAUAUAUUGACGCUGAGGCACGAAAGCGUGGGGAUCAAACAGGAUUAGAAACCCGGGUAGUCC
rnacentral:rRNA from 1 species